rnacentral:lncRNA from 12 species
AUGGGAGGCGCUGUGGUCCCGGCCGCCCGCUCCUGUCCCAGCCUAACGAACGCAGCCUCAGAGCCAGGGCGCAGGCCCGAGUUGCCCACUAACCUCUCCGCGCCCCGGCCGAGCCCCGCGGCUCGGCAGCUGAUUGGGCGCCGUCCCUUGCCGUCGGCCCGCUCCCGGCGCCGCUGCACGUUUCCAUUGGUCCUCAGCCCUGCCGCUCAGAUGAAGGCUCGCCUCCCCCAAACAGCCUGCGGGGCCGGCGCGUGCUGGGGGCGGGGCCUGGGGCGGGGCGGGGGCGGGGCCUGGGGCGGGGCGGGGGCGGGGCCUGCGGCGGGGCGGGGGCGGGGCGGGGCCUCGCUGAGUGCUGGCGCCGCGGCGGAUCGGGGCUCUGGCUCUGGACUCCCGCGCAGCAUCCUCGCUGCGGCCGCUGCGGCUGGCGGCGGCGCUCGGUCAGGUGACAUUCCCCAUCACCGCUUCCUUCUUUCAUCAACAUCUUCAUCACGACCAUCACCAUCACCAUUUCUCUUCCUCCAUCAGAGCUCUUCAAGUUCUGCAAAGGCAGACUCUAUUCAGGCAUGCGGUCUUGUUGCUGGAGAUGACUGUCAGCUGCUUUCCCUGCCUAGCCACCAUCACAUGCCCCACCACCGGAGCCCGGAAAGCCUGACCACAGACCAGCAUCUCCAAGGCA